rnacentral:sRNA from 12 species
CCUAACCUUGGGACUGGUUAGGCUACACGUUGAUUAAUUUCCAAUUCAAUCACAACAAUUAGUAAUUUCGCAAUGAACUUUGAAGUGAUGGUGAUUUACUUUCAAUUAAUCAACUAUUUAUC